UUCUUGGGACGACCCAGGCCCUACGGGUGAGCCAGGCUGUUGGGGCGACCCAGGCCCCAGGGGCAAAGAAGGUUCUUGGGGUGAGCCAGGCUGUUGCAGGGAAGAUGGCCCUUGCGGUGAGCCGGGCCCUAGGGGCGAGCCAGGCUGUUGCGG